rnacentral:rRNA from 1 species
AGUGAACGCUGGCGGUAGGCCUAACACAUGCAAGUCGAACGGCAGCACAGGAGAGCUUGCUCUCUGGGUGGCGAGUGGCGGACGGGUGAGGAAUACAUCGGAAUCUACUCUGUCGUGGGGGAUAACGUAGGGAAACUUACGCUAAUACCGCAUACGACCUACGGGUGAAAGCAGGGGACCUUCGGGCCUUGCGCGAUUGAAUGAGCCGAUGUCGGAUUAGCUAGUUGGCGGGGUAAAGGCCCACCAAGGCGACGAUCCGUACCUGGUCUGAGAGGAUGAUCAGCCACACUGGAACUGAGACACGGUCCAGACUCCUACGGGAGGCAGCAGUGGGGAAUAAUGGACAAUGGGCGCAAGCCUGAUCCAGCCAUACCGCGUGGGUGAAGAAGGCCUUCGGGUUGUAAAGCCCUUUUGUUGGGAAAGAAAUCCAGCUGGCUAAUACCCGGUUGGGAUGACGGUACCCAAAGAAUAAGCACCGGCUAACUUCGUGCCAGCCGCCGCUGUAA